GACUAUGCGACGCCGCGUGGAGGAUGAAGGCCUUCGGGUUGUAAACUCCUGUCAGGGGGGAAGAAACCUUACGUGUUAACAGCGCGUAAGCUGACAUCACCCCCAAAGGAAGCCACGGCUAACUCUGUGCCAGCAGCCGCGGUAAGACAGAGGUGGCAAGCGUUGUUCGGAUUCAUUGGGUGUAAAGGGUCCGUAGGUGGUUAUGUAAGUCUGGCGUGAAAUCCCACAGCUCAACUGUGGAACUGCGCUGGAAACUGCAUGACUUGAGUUUCGGAGAGGUGAGGGGAAUUCUCGGUGUAAGGGUGAAAUCUGUAGAUAUCGAGAGGAACACCAGUGGCGAAAGCGCCUCACUGGCCGAAUACUGACACUGAGGGACGAAAGCUAGGGGAGCAAACAGGAUUAGAUACCCUGGUAGUCCUAGCCGUAAACGAUGUGGAUUAGGUGUUGGGGAUGUUGAUCUCCCCGGCGCCGCCGUUAACACAUUAAAUCCACCACCUGGGGAGUACGGUCGCAAGACUGAAACUCAAAGAAAUUGACGGGGACCCGCACAAGCGGUGGAGCAUGUGGUUUAAUUCGAGGCUACGCGAAGAACCUUACCCAGGCUUGACAUGUAGUUGACAAGCCCAUGAAAGU
rnacentral:rRNA from 1 species